AAUUCAACCUGCUGACCGUUCCUUGCUGUUAAUUGUGCUUCCAAAAUUGAAGAAAAUGUGUUUACAAAAUAACAACUUCUUUAGUGGAGACUUUCAUCCAGAUUUCGACACCUGGCAUCAUGAUGUCCAUUAGAUCAGAAUCUAUUGACUUGCAAUAUAUAAAUCUGGUGCAAUUCUGACUGGGGAUGGCAGCAUCAAUUUUUGAGAGAUUAAUUCAUUUUUGAAGUCCGAUCUCUGCUCUCUCUUUCUUCCCUACGAAAAAGACCUUCUUCUUGGUGAUUUAUGGUCUUUUAUUUUGGAUAUUUUGGACAGAAAUAUUCUAGGGUUUUGGGUCAGAUUGCUGAUUGUUUUCUUCCUGUGUAGAGACUCCAUUUUUGGUGAUUUUCAGAUUUGUGAGAGAGACUUUAUUCUUGGUUUUAGAGACGGCUUCUUGGGUUCUCUCUUCUCGGUGAAAACUUCUUUCUCCUUUGUGGAUUAGGGUCGAUUCUUGAGUCUUUUCAGCAAGUAAAUUUGGGAAACCGUGUAAUACUAUAGAUGCAUAUAGUAGGGUGCUCUUCUCUAUUGAUUGUGUAUGAAUCUUAGUUAUUCUAUGAGGGCAGUUCGAUUUUGGUAAUCUAUGUGAUCCAAAUUUUGAUUCCUUAGUGGAGUGAGGCGUGAUUUGUGCCUUAUUUUAAAGAUAAGUCUUGGUGACUUUAUUUCUGUUGUGCUACUGAAACAUUCUUGUAUUUUACUGCCUAAUUUUUGGGGCUUUAUAGUGUAAACGAGUUUUAUCCAUUUUAAUGGAUGCUCAACAGGGGAAUAGGCGUUAGAAGUGGUCGCCGAACCUCUGGGGCUUCGGCCGAAAAAAUCUUGUGUUCAUUUUACAAUUUUCUACACUUUAUUUUACUGUUUGUUGUGUUUGGUUUAAAUCUUAAUUAAUUCUUGGACGCUCCUCGACUUUUCAAUGGUAUCGGAGCAAUCUUGGACUACUGGAGCGUCUCUGAUUCCUGUGAAUUGACUGGAUUCUGAAACUUUCCUUCAAACUGCAGUAAACAUUGGCUCGUGGAAAUUGAGUUUUAUCAAACCCUUUUGAUGAGAUAUUUCCUGCAUUCUGUAAUUAGUUUUUACAGUAGAGUCUAUAGGAAUUGAUAUCUCUGUUCUUUGUGAUUCUGCCUCUUAUACUUCGUGUUAAGUGUUUACUGUUUGUAAAAAUUGUAUAAGUGCAUUGGUCAUUGGCCCUUGAUUCCCUAGUCUGCCUGCAGUAUUUUUAUUGUGUGUCCUUGUGUGUUCUUGAAAUCAAACUCGUGUACUGUGAACUUUCUUGGUGAAUCUUGUCAUAGCUACUACUAAGUUUGAAUUGAGCAUGUUUAAUGGGAGGGGGAAUUUAAUAUGUGGAGCUAGAAAAUGAGGGCUAUCUUGAUGCAAAUGAAAUGUGCUAAAGCUCUAGAUAAUUCAUGGCCUACUGAAAUGUCUGUUGCUAAAAGAAUUGAGUUAGAAGAAAUAGCGUGGAGUACUAUUUUCUUGUACCUUUUGGACAAUGUGAUCAGGUGUAUAGGUGAAACUAAAACUGCUGAAGAAUUGUGGACCAAAUUGAAAGCUCAAUAUGAGCCAAAAACUGUUCCAAACAAAUGUAUUUUGCUAAAAAAAUUCUUUUCUUUCAAAAUGGACCCUUCGGUUGACUUGGAUGAAAAUUUGGACAGAUUUACAAAAUUGACUCAGGACCUUGCCAAUUGUGAUGAGAAAUUAUUUGAAGAUCAGCUAGCUGUGGUCUUGUUAAUCUCCAUUAGUGAUAGGCAUAGAGACUUAAAGAAUGCCUUGUAAUAUGGAAGAAAUGAGCUUACCACAGACAUCAUCAUAAAUACCUUAAGAAAUAGGGUUCUUGAAUUAAAAUCAGACUCUAUCAACCAUCAAAGUGAAGAAAAUCUGUUGUUAAAAGGAAAAAAUGUUGGUAAAUCUAAUUUUCAUUCAAAAUGACCAUAAGAAAAGGAACAAUGGCAAAAUGAAAUCCAAAACUAAGGCAAAUAGAAAGAAAUGUUUUUAUUGUGGUAAGUUGGAUCACUUUGCAAAGGAUUGUUACAAAAAGCAAAAUGAUUUGAAAGGAAAGAAACUAAGUGAAGGUAAUGCUGUUAUGCCCUAUGAUAAGAAACAAAUUGAUAAUGGCCUGGUUCUUGAAAAUGUUGAAAGGAACGUGAAUCAAGAAUGUAUUCUUGAUUCAGGUUGCUCUAUCCACAUGUACCCUAAUAAAAACUAUUUUUUGGAUUUUGAACAAACAAAAGGAGGCUAAGUUAUCAUGGGAAACAACAUGACCAGCAAAGUGAAAGGUAUUGGAACAAUAAAAUUGCUUUUGGAAAAUGUCAGAAUUUUAUUAUUAAAAGAUUCCAGAUUUGUUCAUGAAUUAGAAAGAAACAUUGUGUUUCUAGGAAUGUUGGAUGACAUGGAGUUUAACAUAAAAUUGGGUCAAUUCCACAUUAAAAUCCUUAGGGGUAGUGAUUUGAUCACUUCUAUCCCAAAGAGACAUGGUUUAUACUUUCUAAAUGCAAAACAUUUAUUGGGUCUUUUAGCAGCUGUUUUAGAUGAUGAAUUUAAUCUUGCAAAAUUGUGGCAUUGUAGACUUGGUCACAUUGGAGUAAAAGGUUUAAAGGCUUUACAAAAUAAAUGUGUAUUUGGAAAAUCAAAUAUUGGUGAAUUGGCUAAAUGUGAACAAUGUUUGAUUGGAAAGCAAGUUAAAUUACCUUUUCCCACUAGUACUCAUAAAUCAAAGCAAAUUCUGUAAUACUCACAUAUUGAUUUGUGGGUUCCUGCAUCUACCCAUACAUUGUCUGUUACCAGUAUUACUUGGGUAUUUCUUUUGAAAACUAAAGAUGAAACAUUUAUUACAUUUAAAGAUUGGAAAACCCAAAUUGAAAAUCAAACUGAUUUGAAAAUCAAAACUUUGAGAACGGACAAUGGACUAGAAUUUUGUAAUUAUGAGUUUUAAUGAUUUUUGCAAGUUGCAUGGCAUCUUAAGACAUAGGACUGUAACAUACACACCCCACCAAAAUGGCAUUGCAGAAAGAAUGAAUAGGACUUUGUUAAAUAAAGUUAGAUGCAUGCUUUUAAGUUCGGGCUUGCCCAAAUUAUUUUGGGGUGAAGCUGUUAAAACUGCUGCAUAUUUGAUUAAUAGAAGUCCUACAAUUGCUUUAAAUUUUGAUGUGCUUGAAUCUGUGUGGACACAAAAGCCCGUGAUUUAUUCUUAUUUGAAAAUAUUUGGUUGUGCUGCAUAUCCUCAUCAAAACACAGGUAAACUUGAACCUAGAUCACUCAAAUGUGUGUUUUUGGGCUAUGCUGAAAAUGUUAAAGGUUACAGGUUGUGGGUUUACGGGGAAAAAUGUCACAAGGUUAUCAUAAGAAGGGAUGUGGUCUUUAAUGAGUUAUGUAUGCUAUGUUUGGAAGGAAAAAAGGGAAAUUUGACUAAAAAUAAUGUCCAAAUUGAGGUGGAGCCUAUUAAAAUAGAUACUACCAGUUCUGUCCCCUUAGAAACAGCAACUAAUGAGGCUGACCAGAAUGAAAAUGAGCCUAAUUUGGUCGAACCUGAUUUAUGUGAUGACAUAAAUAUACCUCUAGAUGAAUACCAGCUCACUAGAGAUAGGGAUAGGAGGCAAAUUAGACCAUCGGCUAGGUUCAAUAGUGAUGACUUUGUGUCUUUGUUCAUUUACCAAGAAGAAAUUGAAUAUGAACCUAGUUCCUAUCAUGAAGUCUUGAAAUCUAAAGAUUCUAAGCGGUGGUUGAGUGCUAUGGAAGAAGAAAUGUCUUCCUUAUAUAAGAAUGAAACUUGGGAAUUGGUUGACAAACCAAAGGAUAAGAAACUAGUUGAUUGCAAGUGGAUUUAUAAAAUAAAGGAAGGGGAAGGUGGCACCAAUAAUGUUAGAUACAAAGUUAGACUAGUUGCCAAGGGUUUCACACAAAAAGAAAGUGUGGACUAUGAUGAGAUUUUUCCCCCGUGGUUAAAUAUACAACUAUAAGAUGUAUUUUUGCUUUAGUUGUGCAAUUUAAAUGGAAACUUGAUCAACUAGAUAUUAUUAUUGAUUCUUUUCAUUGAUUGUAUAGGUACUUGGAGCAAAUGACAUUAUAAAUGUCGGUGAAGCUCGUGGGUGCACUAUAGCCUUAAAUUUUGGAAGCAAGGUGGAGAUUGUUGAGAAUUCAACCUGCUGACCGUUCCUUGCUAUUAAUUGUGCUUCCAAAAUUGAAGAAAAUGUGUUUACAAAAUAACAACUUCUUGAGUAGAGACUUUUAUCCAGAUUUCGACACCUGGCAUCAUGAUGUCCAUCAGAUCAGAAUCUAUUGACUUGCAAUAUAUAAAUCUAGUGCAAUUCUGACUGGGCCAGCAGCAUCAAUUUUUGAGAGAUUAAUUCAUUUUUGAAGUCCGAUCUCUGCUCUCUCUUUCUUCCUUGCGAAAAAGACCUUCUUCUUGGUGAUUUAGGGUCUUUUAUUUUGGAUAUUUUGGGGAGAAAUAUUUUAGGUUUUUGGGUCAAAUUGUUGACCGUUUUCUUCCUAUUUGGAGACUCCAUUUUUGGUGAUUUUCAAAUUUGUGAGAGAGACUUUAUUCUUGGUUUUAGAGACGGCUUCUUGGGUUCUCUCUUCUCGGUAAAGACUUCCUUCUCCUUUGUGGGUUAGGGUCGAUUCUUGAGUGUUUUCAGCAAGUAAAUCUGGGAAACCGUGUAAUACUAUAGAUGCAUAUAGUAGGGUGCUCUUCUCUGUUGAUUGUGUAUGAAUCUUAGUGAUUCUAUGAGGGCAGUUCGGUUUUGGUAUUCUAUGUGAUCCAGAUUUUGAUUCCUUAGUGGAGUGAGGCGUGAUUUGUGCCUUAUUUUAAAGAUAAGUCUUGGUGACUUUAUUUCUGUUGUACUACUUGAAUAUUCUUGUAUUUUAUUGCUUGAUUUUUGGGGCUUUAUAAUGCAACUGAGCUUUAUCCAUUUUUAUGGAUGCUCAACAGGGGAAUAGGCGUUAGAAGUGGUCGUCGAACCUCUGGGGUUUCGGCCGAAAAAAUCUUGUGUUCAUUUUACAAUUUUCUACACUUUAUUUUACUGUUUGUUGUGUUUAGUUUAAAUCUUGAUUAAUUCUUG
rnacentral:lncRNA from 1 species